GAUACAGCCGCCCGGGGCCUCUUGCUCGUGCUUGGUUUUCCGGACCUUGCUUCCUAAAGGGUCUUUAGGGGUUCCCGGACUCCUCCGCCUGGGAGCCUCUAUCCGCCUGGGAGCCUCUAUGCGCCCCGCAAAGCCCCCGGCAGAGCCGAGGGGAGGCUUCAUUGGCGACCUGGUGGGGCCUCGCGGCCCUGCUCCCUGACGUCAGCGCCGCCGCGGUGAUUUAACAGCUUUUGUUUUGGGCAGAAGAACCUAUGGGCACAAAAAGCAGGAACGAGUAGCGGUGGCUGAAGAACGAGCAGGAGCUUGAAUUUCAGUUUUCUUAUGAGGAAUUUUCCAGAAAAGAUAUCUUCACUGUGAAAUAACUAAAUAAAUGCCCACUCAGUACAGUCACUGUCUCCCUUUUGGAACUUGAUGGCACCUUAAGCCCAGGUUUGCCUCCACUCUAGAAACUCAUCAGAGUGAUGCCCUUCUCAAAUGGGGGAGGUCCCAAAGCGGAUAUCCUGGCAGUGUGAAAGGCCGGCUAAAGGUUUGUGCCAAGAGGAUCUGUGGAAUGCAUCUCCUACAGCUGGUGCUGCUGAGUAACCACUCUGAUCUGGCAUCUUCUUUGAUCAAGUUACAGAGCAGAGUUUCCAGGGCUGGGGAUUGAAGUCCUGCCUCCUCCCUUUGUCUCUGGUUGUCCUCGGUAAUGUUUUUCCCUCAAGACAAAAAUACCUGCUACAUGCUUCCUUCUGUAUGAAUACAUGAGACCUACCUUCAUUCAUGUUUCCUCUAUGAAGCUUUCCCUGCACUCCAAACACAGAGCUGAGACUUCCACCUAAUGUAGAAAGCUAGCACGAGCCGGCGCUGACAGAUGGAAGACUUGAGAUGUUACAAGAUUAUAUAUGGAAACACAAAAGGAGUGGAGUUGCUGGGUCAUAUGGCAAUUCAUUUGAGGAACUGAGAAGCUUAUUCCAUGGAGGCUGAACUGUUUUAUAUUCCCACCAGCAACGUAUUCUGUAUCCUCCAUAGUCCUAUUCAUGACAUGGGUCGUUCAUCUCUGUAUUCUAAACCCUCAAUGAACUGUAGACAGUAAUAAAUAUUUAUUGGAUGAAUGGUCUC
rnacentral:lncRNA from 1 species